CAGCCCAGACCACCAGCUAAGGUCCCAAAAUAUAUGUUAAGUGGAAAAGGAUGUGGCGUUGCCCAGACAACUAGGAUGUUGGCUUAGAAGCAGCCAUCAUUUAAAGAGUGCGUAAUAGCUCACUAGUCGAGUGACACUGCGCCGAAAAUGUACCGGGGCUAAACAUAUUACCGAAGCUGUGGAUUGUCCUUUGGACAAUGGUAGGAGAGCGUUCUAAGGGCGUUGAAGCAUGAUCGUAAGGACAUGUGGAGCGCUUAGAAGUGAGAAUGCCGGUGUGAGUAGCGAAAGACGGGUGAGAAUCCCGUCCACCGAUUGACUAAGGUUUCCAGAGGAAGGCUCGUCCGCUCUGGGUUAGUCGGGUCCUAAGCUGAGGCCGACAGGCGUAGGCGAUGGAUAACAGGUUGAUAUUCCUGUACCACCUAUAAUCGUUUUAAUCGAUGGGGGGACGCAGUAGGAUAGGCGAAGCGUGCGAUUGGAUUGCACGUCUAAGCAGUAAGGCUGAGUAUUAGGCAAAUCCGGUACUCGUUAAGGCUGAGCUGUGAUGGGGAGAAGACAUUGAGUCUUCGAGUCGUUGAUUUCACACUGCCGAGAAAAGCCUCUAGAUAGAAAAUAGGUGCCCGUACCGCAAACCGACACAGGUAGUCAAGAUGAGAAUUCUAAGGUGAGCGAGCGAACUCUCGUUAAGGAACUCGGCAAAAUGACCCCGUAACUUCGGGAGAAGGGGUGCUCUUUAGGGUUAACGCCCAGAAGAGCCGCAGUGAAUAGGCCCAAGCGACUGUUUAUCAAAAACACAGGUCUCUGCUAAACCGUAAGGUGAUGUAUAGGGGCUGACGCCUGCCCGGUGCUGGAAGGUUAAGAGGAGUGGUUAGCUUCUGCGAAGCUACGAAUCGAAGCCCCAGUAAACGGCGGCCGUAACUAUAACGGUCCUAAGGUAGCGAAAUUCCUUGUCGGGUAAGUUCCGACCCGCACGAAAGGCGUAACGAUUUGGGCACUGUCUCAACGAGAGACUCGGUGAAAUCAUAGUACCUGUGAAGAUGCAGGUUACCCGCGACAGGACGGAAAGACCCCGUGGAGCUUUACUGUAGCCUGAUAUUGAAAUUCGGCACAGCUUGUACAGGAUAGGUAGGAGCCUUUGAAACGUGAGCGCUAGCUUACGUGGAGGCGCUGGUGGGAUACUACCCUAGCUGUGUUGGCUUUCUAACCCGCACCACUUAUCGUGGUGGGAGACAGUGUCAGGCGGGCAGUUUGACUGGGGCGGUCGCCUCCUAAAAGGUAACGGAGGCGCUCAAAGGUUCCCUCAGAAUGGUUGGAAAUCAUUCAUAGAGUGUAAAGGCAUAAGGGAGCUUGACUGCGAGACCUACAAGUCGAGCAGGGUCGAAAGACGGACUUAGUGAUCCGGUGGUUCCGCAUGGAAGGGCCAUCGCUCAACGGAUAAAAGCUACCCCGGGGAUAACAGGCUUAUCUCCCCCAAGAGUUCACAUCGACGGGGAGGUUUGGCACCUCGAUGUCGGCUCAUCGCAUCCUGGGGCUGUAGUCGGUCCCAAGGGUUGGGCUGUUCGCCCAUUAAAGCGGUACGCGAGCUGGGUUCAGAACGUCGUGAGACAGUUCGGUCCCUAUCCGUCGUGGGCGUAGGAAAUUUGAGAGGAGCUGUCCUUAGUACGAGAGGACCGGGAUGGACAUACCUCUGGUGUACCAGUUGUCGUGCCAACGGCAUAGCUGGGUAGCUAUGUGUGGACGGGAUAAGUGCUGAAAGCAUCUAAGCAUGAAGCCCCCCUCAAGAUGAGAUUUCCCAACUUCGGUUAUAAGAUCCCUCAAAGAUGAUGAGGUUAAUAGGUUCGAGGUGGAAGCAUGGUGACAUGUGGAGCUGACGAAUACUAAUCGAUCGAAGACUUAAUCAA
rnacentral:rRNA from 1 species